AUCAGUGGCGAACGGGUGAGUAACACGUGAGCAACCUGCCCCGAACUCUGGGAUAAGCGCUGGAAACGGCGUCUAAUACUGGAUACGCACCGCACAGGCAUCUGUAGUGGUGGGAAAGAUUUUUUGGUUCGGGAUGGGCUCGCGGCCUAUCAGCUUGUUGGUGAGGUAAUGGCUCACCAAGGCGUCGACGGGUAGCCGGCCUGAGAGGGUGACCGGCCACACUGGGACUGAGACACGGCCCAGACUCCUACGGGAGGCAGCAGUGGGGAAUAUUGCACAAUGGGCGGAAGCCUGAUGCAGCAACGCCGCGUGAGGGAUGACGGCCUUCGGGUUGUAAACCUCUUUUAGCAGGGAAGAAGCGAGAGUGACGGUACCUGCAGAAAAAGCGCCGGCUAACUACGUGCCAGCAGCCGCGGUAAUACGUAGGGCGCAAGCGUUAUCCGGAAUUAUUGGGCGUAAAGAGCUCGUAGGCGGUUUGUCGCGUCUGCUGUGAAAACCCGAGGCUCAACCUCGGGCCUGCAGUGGGUACGGGCAGACUAGAGUGCGGUAGGGGAGAUUGGAAUUCCUGGUGUAGCGGUGGAAUGCGCAGAUAUCAGGAGGAACACCGAUGGCGAAGGCAGAUCUCUGGGCCGUAACUGACGCUGAGGAGCGAAAGGGUGGGGAGCAAACAG
rnacentral:rRNA from 1 species